rnacentral:lncRNA from 1 species
AAACAAUAGAGAAAAACUUUAAAAAAAUAAAAAUAAACAAAGUGCCUCAACGACGAACAACUUUGUCACCUUCUAUUCACCCCACAUGUUAUAUUUUGAAUUUUUUCUUUCCUUCAUCUCCUUCUCCAGGCUGGUGAUGACAAUCUCCUGCAAUCUCCUGCUCCUUCGCUUGGCGAAACAAAUUAAUGACUUUUGUCUUUAUUCUAC